AUGCAGUCGUACGCUUCUUUUUCCACCGGAGCUUGCUCCACCGGAAAAAGAAGAGUGGCGAACGGGUGAGUAACACGUGGGUAACCUGCCCAUCAGAAGGGGAUAACACUUGGAAACAGGUGCUAAUACCGUAUAACAAUCGAAACCGCAUGGUUUUGAUUUGAAAGGCGCUUUCGGGUGUCGCUGAUGGAUGGACCCGCGGUGCAUUAGCUAGUUGGUGAGGUAACGGCUCACCAAGGCCACGAUGCAUAGCCGACCUGAGAGGGUGAUCGGCCACAUUGGGACUGAGACACGGCCCAAACUCCUACGGGAGGCAGCAGUAGGGAAUCUUCGGCAAUGGACGAAAGUCUGACCGAGCAACGCCGCGUGAGUGAAGAAGGUUUUCGGAUCGUAAAACUCUGUUGUUAGAGAAGAACAAGGAUGAGAGUAACUGUUCAUCCCUUGACGGUAUCUAACCAGAAAGCCACGGCUAACUACGUGCCAGCAGCCGCGGUAAUACGUAGGUGGCAAGCGUUGUCCGGAUUUAUUGGGCGUAAAGCGAGCGCAGGCGGUUUCUUAAGUCUGAUGUGAAAGCCCCCGGCUCAACCGGGGAGGGUCAUUGGAAACUGGGAGACUUGAGUGCAGAAGAGGAGAGUGGAAUUCCAUGUGUAGCGGUGAAAUGCGUAGAUAUAUGGAGGAACACCAGUGGCGAAGGCGGCUCUCUGGUCUGUAACUGACGCUGAGGCUCGAAAGCGUGGGGAGCAAACAGGAUUAGAUACCCUGGUAGUCCACGCCGUAAACGAUGAGUGCUAAGUGUUGGAGGGUUUCCGCCCUUCAGUGCUGCAGCUAACGCAUUAAGCACUCCGCCUGGGGAGUACGACCGCAAGGUUGAAACUCAAAGGAAUUGACGGGGGCCCGCACAAGCGGUGGAGCAUGUGGUUUAAUUCGAAGCAACGCGAAGAACCUUACCAGGUCUUGACAUCCUUUGACCACUCUAGAGAUAGAGCUUCCCCUUCGGGGGCAAAGUGAC
rnacentral:rRNA from 1 species